ACUAUUUUAGUAAAAAAAAAAAGGAUUAUAAUAUUUUGAUAGAAUAUAGUUUAAUAAUAGUA
rnacentral:tRNA from 1 species